GAAAUGCGAUAAGUAAUGUGAAUUGCAGAAUUCAGUGAAUCAUCGAAUCUUUGAACGCACCUUGCGCUCCUUGGUAUUCCUUGGAUCAUGCCUGUUUGAGUAUCAUGAAAUCUUCAAAGUAAAUCUUUUGUUAACUCAAUUGGUUUCUACUUUGGUAUUGGAGGUCUUUGCAGCUUCACACCUGCUCCUCUUUGUUCAUUAGCUGGAUCUCAGUGUUAUGCUUGGUUCCGCUCGGCGUGAUAAGUUAUCUAUCGCUGAGGACACUGUAAAAGGUGGCCAAGGUAAAUGCAGAUGAACCGCUUCUAAUAGUCCAUUGACUUGGACAAUACUUUUAUGAUCUGAUCUCAAAUCAGGUAGGACUACCCGCUGAACUUAAGC
rnacentral:misc_RNA from 1 species